UACGUAGGGUGCGAGCGUUAAUCGGAAUUACUGGGCGUAAAGCGUGCGCAGGCGGUUCGCUAAGACCGAUGUGAAAUCCCCGGGCUUAACCUGGGAACUGCAUUCGUGACUGCAAGGCUAGAGUAUGGCAGAGGGGGGUAGAAUUCCACGUGUAGCAGUGAAAUGCGUAGAGAUGUGGAGGAAUACCGAUGGCGAAGGCAGCCCCCUGGGCCAAUACUGACGCUCAUGCACGAAAGCGUGGGGAGCAAACAGG
rnacentral:rRNA from 1 species